AUUGAACGCUGGCGGCAGGCCUGACACAUGCAAGUCGAACGGUAACAGGAAGAAGCUUGCUUCUUUGCUGACGAGUGGCGGACGGGUGAGUAAUGUCUGGGAAACUGCCUGAUGGAGGGGGAUAACUACUGGAAACGGUAGCUAAUACCGCAUAACGUCGCAAGACCAAAGAGGGGGACCCUCGGGCCUCUUGCCAUCGGAUGUGCCCAGAUGGGAUUAGCUAGUAGGUGGGGUAACGGCUCACCUAGGCGACGAUCCCUAGCUGGUCUGAGAGGAUGACCAGCCACACUGGAACUGAGACACGGUCCAGACUCCUACGGGAGGCAGCAGUGGGGAAUAUUGCACAAUGGGCGCAAGCCUGAUGCAGCCAUGCCGCGUGUAUGAAGAAGGCCUUCGGGUUGUAAAGUACUUUCAGCGGGGAGGAAGGGAGUAAAGUUAAUACCUUUGCUCAUUGACGUUACCCGCAGAAGAAGCACCGGCUAACUCCGUG
rnacentral:rRNA from 1 species